GACGACCGCUCGCGGCGUGCUUAACUCAUGCCAGAUGAACGGAAAGGCCCUGCUUCUGUGCGUUGCUCGAGUGGCGAACGGGUGAGUAACACGUGAGUAACCUGCCCUUGACUUUGGGAUAACUUCAGGAAACUGGGGCUAAUACCGGAUAGGAGCUCCUGCUGCAUGGUGGGGGUUGGAAAGUUUCGGCGGUUGGGGAUGGACUCGCGGCUUAUCAGCUUGUUGGUGGGGUCGUGGCUUACCAAGGCUUUGACGGAUAGCCGGCCUGAGAGGGUGACCGGCCACCUUGGGACGGGGAAACGGCCCCGACUCCGCCGGGAGGCAGCAGUGGGCAAGACUGCACAAUGGGAGGAGUCCUGAUGCAGCAACGUCGCGUGCGGGAUGACGGCCUGGGGAUUGUAAGCCGCGAUCGCCGGUGGUGAAGAGUGUGUGAGGGGAAUCGGUAGAUAGUGACGGGCUAGCUACAGG
rnacentral:rRNA from 1 species